AAAGGAAGUGGUGACCGGUUGUACGAGGAGAGUCAAACCUCGCUGGCGGCCCCCGGACACUGUGCUUAUGUACGACGGUCCUACGGCACUGAUGGCCUGGGCGUUAGUUACCGGGGUGAUACUCUGGCUGUUGUGUUCCGGUCCUGUUACUAGUGUUGGCAUUGUGGUGUUGUGUGUUGCGAUUUUCUUACUAGUGUUGGUGUUGUAGGUGUUUGUUAAUGUGUUCCGAUCCUGUUACUAGUGUUGACGUAACUGUUGUGUGUUCCGAUCCUGUUGCUAGUGUUGACAUUGUGGUGUUGUGUGUUGCGAUUUUCUUACUAGUGUUGGUGUUGUAGGUGUUUGUUAAUGUGUUCCAAUCCUGUUACUAGUGUUGACGUAACUGUUGUGUGUUCCGAUCCUGUUACUAGUGUUGGCAUUGUGGCUGUUGUGUGUUCCAAUCCUGUUAUUAGUGUUCCUAUUUCCGAUGUUGUUACUCUGGCUGUUGAAGUGUGUUCCAAUCCCCUUACUAGUGUUGGUGUUGUGGUGUUGUGUGUUCUGAACCUGUUACUACUGUUGUUAUUUCUGGUCCUAAUACUCUCAUUUUUGUUGUUAUUUUUUAUCCUAUUGCUAGUGUUGUUGUUGUGGUUGUGGUUUCCAAUCCUAUAACUCCACUUCUUGUUGUAGUUUCCGAUCCUAUUGCUAGUGUUGUUGUGGUUUCCAAUCCUAUAACUCCACUUCUUGUUGUGGUUUCUGAUCCUAUUGUUAGUGUUGUUGUUUUGGUUGUAGCUUCUGAUCCUAUGACUCCACUUCUUGUUGUAGUUUCCGAUCCUAUUAGUAGUGUUGUUGUUUUGGAUGUAGUUUCUGAUACUAUAAAUCCACUUCUUGUUGUGGUUUCAAAUCCUAUUGCUAAUGUUGUUGUUUUGAUUGUAGUUUCCGAUCCUAUAACUCCAUUUCUUGUUGUGGUUUCAAAUCCUAUACCUCCUCUUCUUGUUGUGGUUUCAAAUCCUAUAACUCCACUUCUUGUUGUGGUUUCAAAUCCUAUUGCUAAUGUUGUUGUUUUGAUUGUAGUUUCCGAUCCUAUAACUCCAUUUCUUGUUGUAGUUUCCGAUCCUAUAACUCCACUUCUUGUUGUGGUUUCAAAUCCUAUAACUCCACUUCUUGUUGUGGUUUCUGAUCCUAUUGUUAGUGUUGUUGUUUUGGUUGAAGUUUCCGAUCCUAUAACUCCACUUUUUGUUGUAGUUUCCGAUCCUAUAACUCCACUUCUUGUUGUAGUUUCCGACCCUGUAACUCCAUUUCUUCCUGUGUUGUCUGAUGCUAACGCUAAAGUUGUUGUUGUUGUUGUUAUUUCCGAUGUUUAUACUACUCAGGUUGUCACUGUGUGGGUUGUUACAAGCACUAACACUAUUGCCUCUACUACUACGACUAUUAACCUGCUUGCUGUGUUGUUACUAUGAAAACUACUGCUGCUAAUGUUUCUCUGUGGCUGUUAAUAGCACCUCUUCUACUACUACUACUACUACUACUAUUGCUACUACUAUUCUUGUUGUUGUUGUUGUUGCUAUGUCUAUGCAAGCCACACCUGACGGGGCGAGAAACAGGGCCAGGAAGGGAGCUGUGAUGCGGGGGAAAACAGAGUCAAUAACCUUUAAAUAACUCAUGUAUUAACUGUGAAUCAUUAGUUAUUUAAGGUUAUUGAUCUCUCUGUUUUCCCCUGCAUUACAGAGUGUACAUCAAGACCUUUCCCUGGCGCACGGCCCGGGAAAGGUCCGUCCUUGACCCCCUUCCUUGGUCCUGUCCCGCCCUUGUUAGAGGAACACUGUGGCUCACGUAACACAGAAGCAAACCGUCACACGCCAGGCAGCACUCUGGGGGUUAAGGGAGCGAGGUUUGACCCGGUAGAGUCUGGUUGUCAGCGGCACACCACACACACACACUACACCAAACCGGCGGCCCUGUAUGGAACUAAGACAUAGAGGGACAUUUAAUACACUGUGAAUGUUCUCAUCACCCUGGACAUGGAAAUUAGGUUAUUUAGGUGAGUAAUUAGUCUACAAUUUUGAAGGUUGGAAAGUUUUGUUUAGUCGGCGCAACAUCUGUGGUCAUAUGCUGGAGAGAGACAGGAGGGGAAGGAAUUAUAGGAGAAAGGAACAGUUGGAAAGUUUCAUUUAGUCGGCGCAACAUCUGUGGUCAUAUGCCGGAGAGAGACAGGAGGGGAAGGAAUUAUAGGAGAAGGGAACAGUUGGAAAGUUUGGUUUAGUCGGCACAACAUCUGUGGUCAUAUGCUGGAGAGAGACAGAAGGGGAAGGAAUUAUAGGAGAAGGGAACAGAUCCCAGGAGACAGGACACAACCCCUGAUUAAUACCUGGUACCCAUUCACUGCUGGGUGGACAGGGGUGUAGGGUAUCGGAAAAGCCCAAAUUUUUCCACUCCGCCCGGGAAUCGAACCCGGGCUCUCUCGGUUGUGAGCUGAGUGUGCUAACCACUGCACCACGAUACCCCCCUAGAAUUUUGAUUAUGUAAGAUUAUAGUGCCAAAUGAAACUGCUCCUGUAAAUACUGUAUGGCAGAAUAAUGAUAAAAGAAUUGUUCAAGUGAGGAAUUUGAUCACACCAAGACUAAUUGAGUGAAAACUAUGGAAAUUCUAAGGCAGUUCUAAGAAGUGUCCGCCCAUCCACUGGACCAGGAAACAAUUCACACAUUAACUACCACCCCGAGAUAUUAGUGAGCUACUCAACCACGGCUCAACCACGGGCUUGUCCUGAGGAGAGGCAGAGCUUACGUCAAGGGGGGACUGCAGGAAGGGUCGGGGAAAACAUUGCCUUUGCUUUCCUGCGACUGAUACUGUUAUAAUGGAUUUGAGAGAACAGCCCAGGCCUACAGCAAAACCAUAUUGUCGAGUCCAUUUUGGCACUGGCUCCCGCGGGUCAAUUUCUCCCCUUUGCUCUGCCAUAGUCCCAACACCUAGUUUUUCCUCUCAUAUUUUUUUUU